UACGAAGGGUGCGAGCGUUAAUCGGAAUUACUGGGCGUAAAGCGCGCGUAGGUGGUUUGGUAAGCGAGAUGUGAAAUCCCCGGGCUCAACCUGGGAACUGCAUGUCGAACUGCCAGGCUAGAGUAUGGUAGAGGGGUGUGGAAUUUCCUGUGUAGCGGUGAAAUGCGUAGAUAUAGGAAGGAACAUCAGUGGCGAAGGCGACACCCUGGACCGAUACUGACGCUCAGGUGCGAAAGCGUGGGGAGCAAACAGG
rnacentral:rRNA from 1 species